rnacentral:lncRNA from 1 species
UUUAUCUAGACUUGGAAUUCAUCAUACAAUAUAUAUAAAGUGUAGCCAAGAAAGAGUUCUUUCAAAUUCCAGUUGCUUAUCUUUCAUUGCUCUAUGUACGCAUAUGUUAUGCUUCAAAGAGUGAGAGUAGGUACAAAUUUGACACCUUAACUUUGAAUACCUAUAUCUCCUUCACAAAAGCUCGAAAGCACCCAAACUCUUCAUCCAAAUUAUACCCAAAAUCCUGAAAUUCUUGAUCCUAGCUUGCAAAGCUCAAAUUCCUCCAAAAGUGAAACCUUAAUCUCUAAUAAGGCCUUGGGCAGCCUCCUUCAAGCCCAUUAGGCAUGACAUUUGACCAAUAGGGAUGAAGGUCUUUAUCCCUUGCCUUCACCUAACCAUACCUUGCUUUCAUCCUUACCAAUAAGCCUCCUAAUAGUUUAGAAUUUCAUCUUAAAUUCCAACCUUCUCUUCAGCUUUAUACUAAAUAUCUAAAUCCUACAUAAUAUAAAUACUAUUAUCAAAAUAG